GGCCAUACCAAAAAGCCAUACGGAGUAUCCCACUCCUCCCCUUCCUCAAAAGCCCCGAAAACUAAUAUAAAUAAAUCAAUAUCCUCCCUAUAGGUAAAAGAUAAAAGAAAAAAUAGCAAGAGGGAUAGAAAAAAAAAAGGUCAGUUGCAAAAAUUAUUUCGCGAGAUCAGGGCGGCUCCGCCCCCUUGCCGCAGAUUCGCGGCGAGAGGGGAAGGCGGAGGUUUCCGAGCCGGCGGAGCCCAUUCUCCGGUAGACGCAAGGCACGAUCUUGCGGCUGCCCCCCGUCGAAUUCUUGCCGGGCUAUAUCUGAGGAUUGAAGGUCGCGCGAGGCUAGGCAUUUCCACCGCGUUUCUUGUGCAGAUUUCGUCGAUUUCUUGGCGCUGCUGCCGAGAAUCCGGUGUUGAACAGCUUGCGGUGGACGAAAGGCAAAGAGGCGAUGGACUACUACAACAUCCUCAAGGUGAACCGGAAUGCCUCAUUGGAGGACCUCAAGAAGUCGUACCGGCGGCUCGCUAGGACCUGGCACCCUGACAAGAACCCGACUGGUGGCGCUGAGGCUGAGGCCAGGUUCAAGCAGAUAACUGAGGCCUACGAGGUACUAAGUGAUCCAGAAAAGCGUGCAAUUUAUGACCAAUACGGUGAAGAAGGUUUAAAGGGUAUGCCUCCACCUGGUUCGCAAAGCCGGACCGCCACAGCUUCUGGCUCAAGUGGUCCAAGUAAUUUCCGUUACAAUCCUAGUGAUCCAGAUGAUAUCUUUAAUGAGUUCAUGGCGAGCAACAAGCCAUACACCUUUGGUCAAGACCGAAGGCGCUUUCAACCACCACACCGGACCUCAGCAGUGAAUGGUCGAAGUGAAGCUUCUUCCAGUUCACAGAAGGAGCCUGGUACCAGUACAAGCCAUCUGGAAAAGCCACCGCCUGUGGAGAAGACAUUACUUUGCACUCUCGAAGAGCUGUAUAAUGGAACAAAAAGGAAGAUGAAGAUCACUAGGAAUGUCGCAAAAUCAGAUGGAAAGGUAGAAGUUGAGACAGAGAUCUUGCAGGUCGAGGUGUUGCCAGGCUGGAAAAAGGGAACAAAGAUGACAUUUCCCAACAAAGGCGACACGCUGCCCGGCUAUUUACCGCAGGACCUGACCUUUGUCAUCGACAUGAAGCCCCAUGACACCUACACUCUCGAAGGGAACAACCUCCUGGUAAGCCAGGAGAUCCCCCUGGUGGACGCUCUUGCCGGGACGACCAUAAACCUCAGGACCCUUGAUGGCAGGAGCCUUCCCGUCAGGGUGGAGGAAGUGGUGCGCCCUGGCCAGGAGAUUGUGAUUGAGAAUGAAGGGUGGCCGAUCCGAAAGGAGCCAGGGAAGAAGGGGAGCCUGAGGAUCAGGUUCGACGUGGCCUUCCCGGCGAGGCUAUCCUCGUCGCAGCGAGCUGCCAUCAGGCGGAUCAUGGGGAGCUAACCAGGGAAAAGAAGGGGGCGACAGUGGAUCGAUUCAUACAGAAACAAGAAGAGAAAGAAAAAAAAACUAGCUAGCCUGAGGACAGUUGGGAUUGGUUUGGGUUAGUUCAUGUUCAUCUGUUGUUCAUAGAUCAGUUAGCGGUGCAGCACUAAUUCCGUGUGUUUAGCCCUGUUCUUCGCAAGUGACGUUGUUUUCUUUUCGGUGACUUCUGUUGGCCAUUAGCAGUUGGAUGCUUUUAGUUCUGAUCAUAUCAAACGGAUGUUUAUCCCCCUCGACUUUUGUUGAUAAUUAGCGCUUUUCUUAAGAUGGAUCAUCAUGCCAUGGCU
rnacentral:rRNA from 1 species